UAUCUAUGCAAUGCCUUUGCUCAGGUUAAAGAAUGGAAUAAAAGUCUAGCAUCAAAUGUAUAGCUAACUAUUUUAAUUUGUGAUCAGAGCAACUGAUCUCCGUUCAAUUUUUAUCAUCAAAAGUUAGUUCUACCUUCGCAGGACCUCUGCUCUACAUACCUCCUCUCUAGUUAAAGAAUGAAAUAUAAGUCUCAUUUAUCAAGUUGGUGUAAAAAUUUAGCUUGAUAAAUUAAGAAGUUGUAAACUUUAUUAUCACAAUUGCCAAGUUGACCAAAUGUUCUUCUGGUUUUAAAUGAAUUAUGUAUGAGUCUAGUAUCAUCUGGGUGUUCAAAGAUAGUUUACUGCUUGAAGAACUUAUCAAUGGACCAACUAAUUAUAAAACAGUUUUUAAUGAAAAUAAAAACGAAUUAUCAAAAGAUUUAAAUCAGCUAUUUGUGUAUAUUUAAACACUUUAUUUUUUGUGAGAAGAGAUUAUUGAUAC
rnacentral:lncRNA from 1 species